GAAUUUUUGUUCUAAACCCAAAACAUGUUCACAACCUACGUAAAGAGUCUGAAUGAUAUGGUAUUUUCUACGUCUGAGAGCCCAGAGGAGCAGCCGAGCACUGGGGUCUUGGGCCGAAUUGGGAGCUGGUUCUCUCCAUGGAGGGGAAGGAGUCCGAAGAGUCCGACUGAAAAUGCAGAUGAUCAGGUUGAUAAAGCAGAAGGAGUAGAAGACGGUAAAGAGUCGGUGAAACCCCAGGCCGAGCAGGAGGACAAGGAUCAGAGUUCAAAUCCCAAUCCGCUGCCUCUCACCAGAGACAUUUUCCCCUCUGAACAAGAGGACGCCACGCAGUCUGCCCACAGAGACGUGAACAGCACAGAGCCAGGAGAAGGAGGUCCAAAGGAGGAGGAGUCUGGGGAGCACAGGAAGGAGAGAACAGGGCAGGGUAAGGAGAGGGAGGAGAACGGCAACGGUACUUUAUUGAGCGGGAAUCCUACCCCGGAUAAAAAUGCCAGUCAUCUGACGCAUCGUUCUUCCUCCGCCAAGCAAGAAGUGCCAUGUGGUUCUGACCAGGCCCGCACCCAGCCUCAAGCCCAGACAAGCAAGACACUCCACGUGUACCUGGAGGAGACCAGUGUGAUUCAUUCCAACCAGAACACCUGUGCAGGACAGGAGGUGAUCUGUACUAAAGUGAAGACAAGCUACCAGGUCCUCCCCAAGUCACCGACAUCGCCGAGUUAUGAGUCGUCAAAGAGGUCAAGUAGUGCAGAGUUCAAAAGAAUAAAUGACAGGACAGCUGCAGGGGAGAAAAGUUAUUAUAGCGUACUAGUGGGAGUGCCGCUGAAACCAGGCAAAGACUCUCAGGUAGAGUCCGAACGUAAUAAAGGACAAUCAGAAGUAGACGACAUGGGGCGAAAAAACACAGCCCGAAGAAAAAAUAGAAAAAACUCCCAGGGAGAUGGAGGGAACAGCUCCCAAGAAAACAGUCCUUCCACUGCACAUCCAGCCCAACAGGGAUUCCCCACAUCAGAUAAGUCAGUGACCAGUCCUCAGGGUAAAAGGCCAGAGUCACCUGUAAACUCCUCCUCUAAACAUAACCCCACCUCUGAGGCCUCACCUGAAGGAGGGGAAGCAAAACCUCUGGCCACAUUCCAGGAUUCAAACUCAGUCGCUUCAGCCACUCCGGCACGUGUGGUGGACGUGAGCGCGAACAUGGAGGAUGAUGACAGCUUUUACAAAGUGGAGAGGAAGACGGAGACACCAGAGUCCAAACGCAGGAGUAUGAAGGUUUCUCAGAGCGAGGUCAAGUUUUUUCCGAAAAAUGUGCCUUUGAAAGCUGAGCAAAGUCCAGCUGGAGUCAAAAAGGAGAAUAAACCAGUGUCCAAGAAUACCAAAGAUGAGGCAAAUGAUAAGAGUAAAACCAAGAUUGAACCGAGGUAAGGUUUCUUUUAGGGAUGUAAUGAUAUGAAAAUGUCAUAUCACGGUUAUCAUUAUUAUUGCGGUAUUGUUGAAAUUGUGCUCAAAAUGUUCAAAAAGUACUACUACUACUACUACUAAUAAUAAUAAUGGAUUGGAUUUAUAUAGCGCUUUUCUAGACAUCCAAAGCGCUUUACAUUAUUAACCCAUUAUUUAUUCGCUCUCACAUUCUCCCUCUAAUACACACACUGAAAUAAUUAAACCAAGUUGUAUUUAAAAAAAAAACGUAUGAAAAGACAAAUAAAAUAAUCGCCACAAUAUACCUUCUGUUGCAGAAAUAUUCAAAUAUUAACCCAUAGUAGUCUGAGCCUAUUUUGUCUGUUUUCAGUCCUUUUGAUUUUGCCU
ensembl:lncRNA